rnacentral:rRNA from 1 species
CCUACGGGAGGCAGCAGUGGGGAAUAUUGGGCAAUGGGCGCAAGCCUGACCCAGCAAUGCCGCGUGAAGGAAGACGGCUUUCGGGUUGUAAACCUCUUUGUCUGGGGAAGUGAAGUAGACGGUACCCUGUAAACAAGCCAUGGCGCACUACGUGCCAGCAGCCGAUGUAAUACGGAGGGGGCGAGCGUUGUCCGGAUUUACUGGGUGUAAAGGGUGUGUAGCCGGGAAGGUAAGUGAGAUGUGAAAUGUGGAGGCUCAACCUCCGAAUUGCGUUUGAAACUGUUUUUCUUGAGUGCUGGGAAGGCAGACGGAAUUCCUUGUGUAGCGGUGAAAUGCGUAGAUAUAAGGAAGAACACCAGUGGCGAAGGCGGUCUGCUGGACAGCUACUGACGGUGAGGCGCGAAAGCGUGGGGAGCAAACAGGAUUAGAUACCCGUGUAGUC